rnacentral:lncRNA from 1 species
AUAAUCAGGGAACCUCAGACGGAGAGUUAACGGCAUUUGAAACUGAGGUACAACUUGAAAAUAACUCCUUUGGUUUUGCUUAACUGGCAUACAAAUAUAUCUGGUUUUCAUGGUGUAGUAAAAUAUUGAACUUGUCUUUUGAUUAACUUUUUGUGCAGUCUUCAAGUGUUGAAAAAGAUCCUACACAAUUUUAAAUGAAUUUGCUUAUAUACAUUUUGGUAUGUACUGAAAUAACUAUUUCCUUGGUGUAUUAAGUAAUGUGGACUUUGGCUUUAAUUGUAUAUACUUUUAACUUGCUGAAUUUAAACGGAAUUUCUCUUCCUUUUUGUGGUAUGUAAUCAUUGGUGUGUGCAGGAAGAAAUUUUUCAACUAGUGAUAGAAUUGUGUGACUAAAUUUAAUAGGCCUAUUAUGUAUCAUUACCAAUUUUCAGAAUUCUGUUGAAUCUGCGUUAAUGGGUGAAUGACUUGGGCAGAGAGAACUCAAGGUUGUUGGUAUUUUUCGUUUCUGGAGUUGGAUGCUUUAUUUGCCUGGUGUGCCUGAUUAAAGAGAUGGUAAAUCAUA